GCCUGGGUGGCUCAGUCGGUUGAGUGACUGACUUCGGCUCAGGUCAUGAUCUCGAGGUCCGUGAGUUCGAGCCCCGCGAGUUCGAGUCCCGCGUCGGGCU
rfam:Felis catus isolate Cinnamon breed Abyssinian chromosome C2, whole genome shotgun sequence.